rnacentral:rRNA from 1 species
UGGGGAAUCUUGGUCAAUGGGCGCAAGCCUGAACCAGCGACGCCGCGUGAGUGAUGAAGGCCUUCGGGUUGUAAAGCUCUGUGGGGAGGGACGAAAGACUGAGGUCCAAUAGGCUUCAGGUUGACGGUACCUCCUUAGCAAGCACCGGCUAACUCUGUGCCAGCAGCCGCGGUAAGACAGAGGGUGCAAACGUUGCUCGGAAUCACUGGGCGUAAAGGGCGUGUAGGCGGGAAGGUAAGUCGGGCGUGAAAUCCCCAAGCUCAACUUGGGAACUGCACUCGAAACUACCUUUCUUGAGUGUCGGAGAGGAAAGCGGAAUUCCUGGUGUAGAGGUGAAAUUCGUAGAUAUCAGGAGGAACACCAGUGGCGAAGGCGGCUUUCUGGACGAUAACUGACGCUGAGACGCGAAAGCGUGGGGAGCAAACAGGAUUAGAUACCCUGGUAGUCCACGCUGUAAACGAUGAGUGCUAGGUGUCGCGGGUAUUGACCCUGCGGUGCCGCG